rnacentral:rRNA from 1 species
UACGUAGGGGGCAAGCGUUGUUCGGAAUUACUGGGCGUAAAGGGCGCGUAGGUGGCCAACUAAGUCAGACGUGAAAUCCCUCAGCUUAACUGGGGAACUGCGUCUGAUACUGGAUGGCUUGAGUUUGGGAGAGGGAUGCGGAAUUCCAGGUGUAGCGGUGAAAUGCGUAGAUAUCAGGAGGAACACCGGUGGCGAGGGCGGGUCUCUGGGCAAUAACUGACGCUGAGGAGCGAAAGCGUGGGGAGCGAACAGG